GACGGAGGAUGCAAGCGUUAUCCGGAAUGAUUGGGCGUAAAGCGUCCGCAGGUGGCAGUUCAAGUCUGCUGUCAAAGACCGGGGCUUAACUUCGGAAAGGCAGUGGAAACUGAACAGCUAGAGUAUGGUAGGGGCAGAGGGAAUUCCUGGUGUAGCGGUGAAAUGCGCAGAUAUCGGGAGGAACACCAGUAGCGAAGGCGGAUCUCUGGGCCUUACCUGACGCUCAGGCGCGAAAGCUAGGGAGCGAACAGG
rnacentral:rRNA from 1 species